rnacentral:lncRNA from 1 species
CUUAUUCUUAUAGAGAGGUAUCAUGGUGCUCCACCUCCAAGCCUCGGGCAUCUUUGCCGUCUUGAAGAUUUCAUUAAACAAUCCCGUCAACCACCUCAGACCAGCCUCUCCAACGAACUUCCAAAACUCGACCGGUAUCUCAUCCGGCCCCGUCGCCCUACCCCUUCGCAUUCUGCGAACAGCCUGUCUAACCUCUUCUACCUUAAAACGUCUACAAUAGCUAAAACCCCGACACUCCUCUGAGGGCUCCAGUUCCCCUAACACAACAGCUCUAUCCCCUUCGUCAUUCAAGAGCCUAUGAAAGUACGACGGCCAUCUAUUCUUAAUGUGGCCAUCUUCCACCAACACUCUACCGUCCUCCCCCUUAAUGCACCUCACCUGAUCGAGGUCACGACCCUUCCUCUCCCUAGCCUUAGCGAGUCUAAACAACUUUUUCUCCCCUCCCUUCCCCUGCAACCCUGCAUACAAGCUCUCAAAGGCGG